CACUGAUCUAAUAAUACACUGGAUAUAGCUUCUAUACCUAUCAAAAGUGAAGCCAACUCGCAAGCGUGCAAAUUUACUUCCGGAUACCCAAAGGAGCGAUAAUUAAUAUGGCGUUAUAUGGAGAAAUGUGAUGUCGAAGCAAAUAUUUUGUAAAUAUGAGCCGUUUUCGUAACGCGAUCAUGCUUAUUUGUGCUUCUUAUGAAAGAUGAGGGUCUUAUGAUUAAUUUGUAGUAAAAUUGCUGCCUGUUACGCUUACACAUCGCUCUAGAAUUUGUUUGAAGAGUGGCAUGUUUAUGGUCCCGAGUUGUGGUUUAUGCUGUCUACGAGUUUAAUAAUGAAGAGGAUUAUAAUACUAAAGUACUUCUGGAUUUUACAGGCGGUAAGGAAUCUUUUUUUCUUAUAGACAAUUAACGGCACCGAAGUUACGACGCAUAUUAUAUCUGUUUACUGUUUUCAUUUCUAAUAUAGUUACUUAAUAUAGGU